rnacentral:ncRNA from 1 species
AAUAGAGAUAAAAACACAGUUCUGUUGGUAGUCAGAAUCUAUAAUAAAUUAUAGCAGUAACCUGCCCUCCUGGGGUUGUCCGUUCUCAAUUAUUUUU